UAGUGUUAAAGACGGGUUUUUGAAGUCUGCUGUAAUUGGUGCUAGGCUUGACAACUGGAGAAACAAUACUGAUUUUAAAGUUACCAUUAAAUUUAAAGACUUAAAGGAAAGUAACUGGCGAAAAAUAUGUAGUUUUAUGACUGAAAACGGCACAACGUGGAUGAAUGAAGGGUGUUAUUUGAAAACAUCAGACACAACAUCAGCUACUUGUGAAUGCAACCAUCUUACAAACUUUGCAAUUCUUAUGAGUCCGUGGACAGCGAGUAAUGUAGAAACAGAAACGUUGAGAAUUAUAACUUUUAUCGGAUGUUCCUUGUCAACUCUUGGUCUUGUUUUUACUGUGUUGGUACAUUUAUAUAUGUGGAGGUA